UUAUUGCUGGAGAUCCUCGGAGGAGCAGUGGGGAAUAUUGCACAAUGGAGGAAACUCUGAUGCAGCAACGCCGCGUGGAGGAUGACACAUUUCGGUGCGUAAACUCCUUUUAUAUGAGAAGAUAAUGACGGUAUCAUAUGAAUAAGCACCGGCUAACUCCGUGCCAGCAGCCGCGGUAAUACGGGGGGUGCAAGCGUUACUCGGAAUCACUGGGCGUAAAGAGCAUGUAGGCGGAUAGAUAAGUUGGAAGUGAAAUCCUAUGGCUUAACCAUAGAACUGCUUCCAAAACUGUCUAUCUAGAAUAUGGGAGAGGUAGAUGGAAUUUCUGGUGUAGGGGUAAAAUCCGUAGAGAUCAGAAGGAAUACCGAUUGCGAAGGCGAUCUACUGGAACAUUAUUGACGCUCAGAUGCGAAAGCGUGGGGAGCAAACAGGAUUAGAUACCCUGGUAGUCCACGCCCUAAACGAUGCACACUAGUUGUUGCCUUGCUAGACAAGGCAGUAAUGCAGUUAACACAGUAAGUGUGCCGCCUGGGGAGUACGGUCGCAAGAUUAAAACUCAAAGGAAUAGACGGGGACCCGCACAAGCGGUGGAGCAUGUGGUUUAAUUCGACGAUACGCGAAGAACCUUACCUGGCCUUGACAUAGAAAGAACUUACUAGAGAUAGUUUGGUGCUAGCUUGCUAGAACUUUCAUACAGGUGCUGCACGGCUGUCGUCAGCUCGUGUCGUGAGAUGUUGGGUUAAGUCCCGCAACGAGCGCAACCCUCGUGUUUAGUUACUAACAGUUCGGCUGAGGACUCUAGACAGACUGCCUACGCAAGUAGGAGGAAGGUGAGGACGACGUCNAGUCAUCAUGGCCCUUACGGCCAGGGCUACACACGUGCUACAAUGGGGCAUACAAAGAGCCGCCAUACGGUGACGUGGAGCAAAUCUCAUAAAAUGCCUCCCAGUUCGGAUUGUAGUCUGCAACUCAACUACCUGAAAGUGGAAUCCCUAGUAAUCGUAGAUCAGCUAUGCUUCCGUGAAAACCUUCCCCGGGCCUGGUACCCCC
rnacentral:rRNA from 1 species